rnacentral:rRNA from 1 species
GUCGAGCGAACAGACGAGGAGCUUGCUUCUCUGACGUUAGCGGCGGAUGGGUGAGUAACACGUGGAUAACCUACCUAUAAGACUGGGAUAACUUCGGGAAACCGGAGCUAAUACCGGAUAAUAUAUUGGACCGCAUGGUUCAAUAGUGAAAGACGGUUUUGCUGUCACUUAUAGAUGGAUCCGCGCCGCAUUAGCUAGUUGGUAAGGUAACGGCUUACCAAGGCAACGAUGCGUAGCCGACCUGAGAGGGUGAUCGGCCACACUGGAACUGAGACACGGUCCAGACUCCUACGGGAGGCAGCAGUAGGGAAUCUUCCGCAAUGGGCGAAAGCCUGACGGAGCAACGCCGCGUGAGUGAUGAAGGUCUUCGGAUCGUAAAACUCUGUUAUUAGGGAAGAACAAAUGUGUAAGUAACUAUGCACGUCUUGACGGUACCUAAUCAGAAAGCCACGGCUAACUACGUGCCAGCAGCCGCGGUAAUACGUAGGUGGCAAGCGUUAUCCGGAAUUAUUGGGCGUAAAGCGCGCGUAGGCGGUUUUUUAAGUCUGAUGUGAAAGCCCACGGCUCAACCGUGGAGGGUCAUUGGAAACUGGAAAACUUGAGUGCAGAAGAGGAAAGUGGAAUUCCAUGUGUAGCGGUGAAAUGCGCAGAGAUAUGGAGGAACACCAGUGGCGAAG